rnacentral:sRNA from 1 species
CCACGAGCGUGUCAACUGGACGCGACAGGGAUGGUGAAUAUGGCGGUUUUUCCAGUUUCUCGCCAUAGCCAACGAAAUGGCAGUCGAGCGCCCGACCUGUCCGCAGU